rnacentral:rRNA from 1 species
UACGGGGGGGGCUAGCGUUGUUCGGAAUUACUGGGCGUAAAGGGCGCGUAGGCGGCCUACUAAGUCGGACGUGAAAUCCCUCGGCUCAACCGGGGAACUGCGUCCGAUACUGGUGGGCUCGAAUCCGGGAGAGGGAUGUGGAAUUCCAGGUGUAGCGGUGAAAUUCGUAGAUAUUAGGAAGAACACCGGUGGCGAAGGCGGCCCACUGGCUCGAUACUGACGCUGAGGUGCGAAAGCGUGGGGAGCAAACAGG